GUAGAUUGAUUUGGGAGGGUGGGGGAUUAAACAAUUGCAGCAUAAUGCAACAUAAUGAAGCUGAGGACAGAGCUUGGUAGCAACAAUCUGCAUUGAGCUAGAGAGUUAAAAGAAAGGGAUUGAAAGCAGAAAUAAAAUUGAGGGAGAGACUGUCACCAGAUUAUUCCCUAAAAUCAGAAUUCUCAUACAUUUUACCAUACCUGAAGGUAAGCGAGCUGAGCAGGUAAAAACUCUCAAAGUCAACCUCAACAAUUAUAUUUGAAAUAACCCAUAUGAGGACCCGCUUACAUUAAAACAAGAUUAUAAGUGUUUACAUAAACUUUCAAUGUUUGAAAGAAAAAAAUAGCAGUCUCUGGACAUGGUAAAGUAAAAACCAUACAGUCCAGUUGCAAUGUUUGGUUCAGGGCAGGGCUGCCAUCAGGCCAUGAGAACCAUGAGAGCUAUCAUGGGCCUGGACUGCUCUGGGAGUUCCGGGCCCGGCAUUCACUAUGUGCACAUAUUUAGACAUUAUCUCUGUAUGUGUCAACCUGCGUGCCUCUAGUUACCUGUAUACUGCAGAGAGGGCCCAGCACACUCCCGCAAGAGUUAAAGAGAAUCAGCUGGAAAGUGAAGACAGAGUGUGCUGGACCCACUCUGCAGUAUACAGGUAGCCGGGGGCCUGCACCAUGCCACUAG